AGUGAACGCUGGCGGUAGGCCUAACACAUGCAAGUCGAACGGCAGCACAGUAAGAGCUUGCUCUUACGGGUGGCGAGUGGCGGACGGGUGAGGAAUACAUCGGAAUCUACUUUUUCGUGGGGGAUAACGUAGGGAAACUUACGCUAAUACCGCAUACGACCUACGGGUGAAAGCAGGGGAUUUUCGGAACUUGCGCGAUUGAAUGAGCCGAUGUCGGAUUAGCUAGUUGGCGGGGUAAAGGCCCACCAAGGCGACGAUCCGUAGCUGGUCUGAGAGGAUGAUCAGCCACACUGGAACUGAGACACGGUCCAGACUCCUACGGGAGGCAGCAGUGGGGAAUAUUGGACAAUGGGCGCAAGCCUGAUCCAGCCAUACCGCGUGGGUGAAGAAGGCCUUCGGGUUGUAAAGCCCUUUUGUUGGGAAAGAAAAGCAGCAGGUUAAUACCCCGCUGUUCUGACGGUACCCAAAGAAUAAGCACCGGCUAACUUCGUG
rnacentral:rRNA from 1 species